UCGGGGGGGAGGGGCAUGUGCCCCCCCCAUGAGUUGCCUAUGCUGACAGUCUUAUUUUGUGUUGAGAUAGGGUCUGACAUCCUACUGGAUGCAGGUCACAUACAUACACUCAACUAUCAUCAGCUGGUUGAGGUCCACAAGUUGUGCAUGUAGAAAAAUUUGUCCAAAGCCUGAAUCUGCUAAGCCCAGGAUCUGGGUAUCCGCUAAGUUAACUGGAACCACAUUCAUCUCUCCCCUGGGGUCUCUGUAUGGACCUCAGAGGUCCAAAUCUGCACAUGCCUGAAGUCCAUCAGUGGAGAGUCCUUGUGCCAGUGCCCCAGUUUCUCACAAAUAAAACAGAUUAAGAGUUCCCCUUGUUCUCAUACUGGUGACAUGUCCUGGAGGUGAUCCUUUUUGGUCAUCCCAUGGUUGGCCCUAUGUGGCUGUGCCAGCCCUUGCUUUCACAGUGAUCAAGGAAGGAGUCUAGGGCAUGGGGUAGGACCAUGCACCAAAGAGCUCCUAGUCAUAGAAAGUCCUCCCCUGGUUUGGUUCAGGCCCUUUGGUCCAACAGAGUAUUUUCUGCAUUCCAGUUUGACUUCUAGGAAGUUCUCAAAUACGCCAACUGCCUCCCUGACUCUUCUAACCUAGUGCUUGCAAGCUCAUUCCCUGGUAAUAUCUUCCAGAACAGCUCCAAGUGGUUGAUGGUUUGCUCAGCUAUGAACAACAUGCAUUUAAAGUCAUGGUCCCUCUCCAAGAAGCUUGCAGUCUGAAAGGGGCAGCUUUGAACGUACAAUAAAACUGCUUUUCUGAAACAACAGCUGUGCUAAAAGAAGUGGCAGGGCAUGCGUGCGCCCCAGUUGGAUCUGCAAUCCCUGAACAGACUGCAUCACCCACCGUGGGGGAGCACGGGAGGAUGAGACUUCUCUUCCCCAGACCCUAAUUUCCCACUUGACCAUUGAAGCUUCCCAGCUUCCAACAUACAAGAAUCAUGACUGACCUAAAAAGAUCUCUCGGCCAUCAUCCCCUCGGAAAGAAACUCCAAAAAACCUCAGGACACUGAAAAGCUGCACAUUUCCCACGACUUUGAAUUUAACCACAUACACUCUGGGCACAAAUCUUCUUUCAUUCUUACACUGGCGAGAAUACAGAAUAACUCCAUUAUCGAUAAAAAGAAUUAAAAUAAUGCACAGCUUUGGAAGGCAUAGAAGAUUGUAACCCAUAGACUUAUAUGCUGAUGCUGUUGCUAUGGGUUCAUUUAUUAAGGACCAGGAGCCAUGGGGGAGUUUGUUCCAGCUGAAGCCUGCGGCCAGUUGCACAACAGCCUGAGCCUCCGUAGACAUUAGAACAGGCUGUUCCA